rnacentral:misc_RNA from 1 species
AACUCUUCACCCCUGUCUACCCACAAUAUGUUGCUUUGGCGGGCCAACCGGGUCCUCCCGGGGAAGGCUUACCCCUUCUCGUGCCCGCCAAAGGUCUCAAUAAACCCUGUGAUUAGUGUCGUCCGAGUAAAGACAAUCGUUAAAACUUUCAACAACGGAUCUCUUGGUUCCGGCGUCGAUGAAGAACGCAGCGAAAUGCGAAAAGUAAUGUGAAUUGCAGAAUUCCGUGAAUCAUCGAAUCUUUGAACGCACAUUGCGCCCUUUGGUAUUCCGAAGGGCAUGCCUGUUCGAGCGUCAUUGCACCCCUCAAGCAUUGCUUGGUAUUGGGCCUCGCCCCCGCGGCGGGUCUGGAUUCUAGUGGCGGUCCAGCGAGACUUCAAGCGUAGCAAGAUUACCACAUCCCGCUUAGCAA